UAAAAAUUAUUAUUUUCAUUAAUUUUAUCAUUUUUUUUUUUUCAGUAAAUUAAAUUUGGUUAAAAUAAAACAUGCAUGUAGAAAUAACUUUGGAUGAAGAAACUUGAAUUAUUUAAAUUUGGUAUGCAGAAUUAUUUAAUUUUGGUGCAGAGAUAAAUUGUUUUAGGAACAGAAGGUAAGUACUUUGAGAAUUGUUACACAGUUGGCACAAUUCCACUCUUUAGAUUAGUAUGUACAAGUCUGCACAAGAUGUAACAGUUGAGCAUUAUUAUUGAUUGAAGAAAAACAAAUCAAUCUUGAAUGAAACAACAAUAAAUUUUACAAUGUGUGUGAAAAUUAAAGGAAUAAAUAUUCGUACGUUUUAUGAUAUAAUUUUCACAGUGUGAAAAUUCAGCGUUAUCCGAUAAUUAACUGUAAACAUCGACGAAAGUUCAAAAUAGUUCAAAAGUUGAGGAAACAAGUAGUUGAAAUGAAAGAGGAAAAAUAAAGUAAGACUUUAUGAUAUAUAUGAAUUAUUGCUUCGAUUAAAAAUAUACGAGAGAGAGAGAAAAAAAAAGAAAAACGACUUACUCAAUGAAUUAGAUAUGGGCUCAUCCUCAAUGAAAUAUUUACACAUAUGAUCAAUCACUUCCUGAUAUCUGUCUUCUGGUAUCUCUUGAAUAGAGAAUUUUGUCGAA